rnacentral:rRNA from 1 species
AGCAGCCGCGGUAAAUUCCAGCUCCAAUAGCGUAUAUUAAAGUUGUUGCAGUUAAAAAGCUCGUAGUUGAAUUUCGGGAUCAAAUUGUCGGUCGUGCCUCGGUACGCACUGGUAUUAUUGGUUCCUACCUUCUGAAGAACCGCGAUGUCAUUAAUUUGGUGUCGUGGGGAAUCAGGACUGUUACUUUGAAAAAAUUAGAGUGUUUAAAGCAGGCUUACGCUUGAAUACAUUAGCAUGGAAUAAUGAAAUAGGACGUUUGAUUCUAUUUUGUUGGUUUCUAGGAUUGACGUAAUGAUUAAUAGGGAUAGUUGGGGGCAUUAGUAUUCAAUUGUCAGAGGUGAAAUUCUUGGAUUUAUUGAAGACUAACUACUGCGAAAGCAUUUGCCAAGGAUGUUUU